rnacentral:rRNA from 1 species
UACGUAGGGUGCAAGCGUUGUCCGGAAUUAUUGGGCGUAAAGAGCUCGUAGGCGGUUUGUCGCGUCUGCUGUGAAAACUGGAGGCUCAACCUCCAGCCUGCAGUGGGUACGGGCAGGCUGGAGUACGGCAGGGGAGACUGGAAUUCCUGGUGUAGCGGUGGAAUGCGCAGAUAUCAGGAGGAACACCGGUGGCGAAGGCGGGUCUCUGGGCCGUUACUAACGCUGAGGAGCGAAAGCGUGGGGAGCGAACAGG